rnacentral:rRNA from 1 species
AACGAACGCUGGCGGCAGGCUUAACACAUGCAAGUCGAACGGGUGUAGCAAUACAUCAGUGGCAGACGGGUGAGUAACACGUGGGAACCUUCCUAGGGGUACGGAACAACUCAGGGAAACUUGAGCUAAUACCGUAUACGUCCGUGAGGAGAAAGAUUCAUCGCCCCUAGACGGGCCCGCGUCGGAUUAGGUAGUUGGUGGGGUAACGGCCUACCAAGCCUACGAUCCGUAGCUGAUCUGAGAGGAUGAUCAGCCACACUGGGACUGAGACACGGCCCAGACUCCUACGGGAGGCAGCAGUGGGGAAUCUUGGACAAUGGGCGCAAGCCUGAUCCAGCCAUGCCGCGUGAGUGAAGAAGGCCUUA